AAUAGAUACCCUGGUAGUCCACGCCGUAAACGAUGAGUGCUAAGUGUUGGGGGGUUUCCGCCCCUCAGUGCUGCAGCUAACGCAUUAAGCACUCCGCCUGGGGAGUACGGUCGCAAGACUGAAACUCAAAGGAAUUGACGGGGGCCCGCACAAGCGGUGGAGCAUGUGGUUUAAUUCGAAGCAACGCGAAGAACCUUACCAGGUCUUGACAUCCCGGUGACCACUAUGGAGACAUAGUUUCCCCUUCGGGGGCAACGGUGACAGGUGGUGCAUGGUUGUCGUCAGCUCGUGUCGUGAGAUGUUGGGUUAAGUCCCGCAACGAGCGCAACCCUUAUUCUUAGUUGCCAUCAUUCAGUUGGGCACUCUAAGGAGACUGCCGGUGAUAAACCGGAGGAAGGUGGGGAUGACGUCAAAUCAUCAUGCCCCUUAUGACCUGGGCUACACACGUGCUACAAUGGACGGUACAAACGGUUGCCAACCCGCGAGGGGAGCUAAUCCGAUAAACCGUUCUCAGUUCGGAUUGUAGGCUGCAACUCGCCUAC
rnacentral:rRNA from 1 species